GCGGUUACUUCCUUCCAGUCCUUCUGCCCACUAACUCUCUUGCAAAAUCUUCAUUCCCUUUUUUGUUACCAUCGCUGUCAUCAUUUCCCCUUUAUCCUGCAUCCUACAAUCUCAAGAAGUGUACUGGAGGAUCCUCCUUCCUUGGUGAGCACGGACCCUCCUUCCUAGGCUCAUGGAGAAAGUCAAAUGGUGGAAGCAAUCAUCUAUUCAAGGAUCCUUUAUGACCCAGGCGGCCUCCCUGAUCAGAAAGAUACCGAAGUUGUAAAACUCACACAAAGCCAGGCUUUGUUAACACCUGAGCAUGCAGAAAGGCUCUAGUCACCAUCACAC